rnacentral:lncRNA from 10 species
GAGCCAUGAGUCACAGCAGCUGGCUCAAGGCUGGGAGGGGAAGUAAAACACUAAAUCUAAGGACCACUCUAUUCACCCUACAGUGACUGCUCUUUUUCCCUCCUGCCACAGUCCAGGGUAGGAGAUACUUCUCCAGGCUCUCACUUAUGGGGGCUUUCCUGCUGGCUACAUCACUGAAAUGGAAUCUCCUAGUGGCCCUUCUCCCUCUACAGCUCUGGUGUUACACUGAAAAACUAGAAGUUUCAAAACAGACAAGGGAAAAAGAGAAACAUCAGAAAGUCUGAUUAAAGUAGAAGCAUCAUAUUUCUAUCAACGUAUCCACUGUGCUUGGACACAAUUGCAGGCCCUUGACAUCUUUUGCCUGGAUUAUUGCAACAGCCUCCAAAAGGACUCGUCUGUCUCCAUGAUACCCCUCCAUCCUCCUCUGCAUCAUCACCAAGGGAAUCUUUGUAAAGCAAAGGCAUGAUCAUGCUUAUCACCUGGUGGAAACCCUUCAGAGACUCUCCACUCCCCAGAGCAGGCACCACAUCGUUAGAGUCUACAGAAGGCAGGAGGAAACAGAAAUGAGUGCCGGGUCCAUAGGCAUUAUAGUAUACAUAGCCUUGGAAUCAGAAGACCAAGAACAUACAAGAGAACAUAGCCUUGGAAUCAGAAGACCAAGAAACAAUUUAACUCUGCCCCUCUAGAGCUCUGAGAACUUGGGCAAGCCUUUUACCCUCUUGAAUUUUUGCCACCUUCAAUGAGAAAGACUGAAACAAAAAACUCAGAAGAAAGAAAGAGACUGAGAUAGCAAAUAUGACAAACUGUUAAAAAUUCAUGAAUCUGUUAUGGAAUACUAUGCAGCCAUAAAAAAGGAUGAGUUCCUGUCCUUUGCAAGGACGUGUAUGAAGCUGGAAACCAUCAUUCUGAGCAAACUAAAACAGGAACAGAAAACCAAACACCACAUGUUCUCACUCAUAAGUGGGAGUUGAACAAUGAGAACACAUGGACACGGCGGGGUGGUGGGAACAUCACACACCGGGGCCUGUCAGAGGGGAGGGGGCUAGGGGAGAGAUAGCAUUAGGAGAAAUACCUAAUGUAGAUGAUGGGUUGAUGGGUGCAGCAAACCACCAUGGCAUGUGUAUACCUAUGUAACAAACCUGCAUGUUCUGCACAUGUAUCCCAGAACUUAAAGUAUAAUAAUAAAAAGAGAGAUUAAAAAAAUUGGUGAAUCUGGGCAAAAUGUACACAGGAUUUUUCUGUACUGUUCUUGCAACUUUUCUACAGAUUUGAAAUGUUACAAAAUAAAAGGUAUUUUUAGAAAAAGAG